GAUUUAGUACCGAAGUUGUUGCACAUGGGCUCUCGUUCAUUUGACCAGGCCGUCCUUGCUGAUUGCUUAGACCAGCUUAGUUCUCUCUGUCGCCUUCCCAGGUCAUCAUUGCCCCGUGCUCCUUCAGCUCCUUUGUUCGCCGCGAAGCAAGGUGGAGUAAUGACGAGGAUCGAGGAAGGUACACUAUCUCCCUUUUAAUCGGACUGGAGGUACGUUACUCCGCAUCUAUUGCAGCGGCCUUAUUAGCUAGGUUACUCUUUAUAUCAUGCAUCUCCGUCCGUUUGGCAGACAUCGCUCUUGCCUAGAGUUGCUUUUGAGGAACUCUUGAGCUAAUUGAUGCGAAUUUACUACGGUUGGAUUUGGCGUCCCAAGGAUCAGGAGGCGGAAACCUCCGCUACCAUGGUGCUCCAUGCCUCCACGACGCCAAAUCAAAAUCUGACCCGUCGGCUUGGCCGCGAUGAAGGAGAUGGGAACAACAAAGAGGAGGGUGCUCUCGAUCGAGGCACACAGAUGUCGAAUGUAGCUGUGGUGGCGACAUCAAGGGGGCAUAUAUUAUGACUGCAGCACACCUACAGUUAGAAGAACUCUGUGGAGGGGUGGUCUAGGAUUGUGGAGCCUGGUAAGAGGGGAGUUCCAUAUAUUUUAUCAGUAUUUGGACAAAUUUCUCUCGCCGUUUUUAUCUUUGGAUUUACUAAUUUUAAAACAGCAAAAGGCAGAAACCAGAAUAUGACAGGCUAUGGAUCAAAAAUUGUUCUUCAGAGAAGAACUUGCUAUCGCUAUAUGUUAUAAGGCUUUAUUACUUAGGUUUCCUCUUGAUCCUUAAGAUACUAAACAGGAAACAAUCAACAUCGAGUGCCAAAUUUGGCCAAUAAAAAUUCAGAAGGAAUCUACAAUCCGUAGUACUGACCUUGAGCGAACAGUGAGAUUUCUCUUUACUUAAUAUUAUGGACGACUUAGUUUGCUCUUGACAGUAGAUAACAAAACCCUUUACUGGAUGUCACAGUUGGCAAACCAAUACCUUGUUCUUGUGAAAUCUCACACAGUUUGCAGCAAGUGCUAAUUGCAAGAAGCGGCCUACUGCAGCAACUGUGCCUUUCUUUUUUCCUUCCUUGCCCAGGUAUAGUUUCAACCCAUCAAUAUUUUUUCCCUAUUGGUAUGUGAUGUGAGGAAUAGCAUGUGUUUCUAAAUUAUCAAUAAACUGUCAUGUCUCUGAUAAGCUUAAUGUGCACAUGCUUGUGAUUCUCUUAAAUUAAAAGGAGGUAUAUGCUGAUGCAGCUACUAAAUUCUAAGCCAAUACUUGAGGUGUGUUUCUCAUCCUUCCGGCAUAUUGUGCAUGAGGCCAAAUAGCAGGAUGUAACUUUUUGGUCCCAAGAAAUAUACAUAACACUACAAUUUUAAAUUUCCAUUCAUUAGAAAGCUUGUAGUAAAAAAAAAUCUAUAUGAACUAAGGGAACCGAUGGAUUUGAAGGAUAUCAAAAAGCCACUGCUUUCUCCUAUGCUUAGAGAACUAAUUGGCUGGGAUACAUAGUUAUAAUUAUUUAUCACAGAGGGUAAAUUAUUCAGAUGCCAAGGUCUGUUGUAUCUAGGUAUUUUAUUUGUGAAUAAAUGGUGUUCUAUAUUGUCACACAUCGCGUGUCAAACCAGUGUGGUUAUAUUGAAAUUAGAACACGUCAACGUAUAUUUAAGUGCUAAUUUGUACUGUAGUAUUGAACACUUAAGCGCAUAUAUAUUUAAGGUCUUGAGAUUGUUUCCCUUUAUAAGAACUAAUGAAAUUUUGAAACAUAACACUUCAGCGCACAUAUAUUCAAGUGCUAAUUCGUAAUAUAUAGUUGUUUCCACCAUCAGUUGACAACUUCACAAAAACGAGAAUUGGAAUGCUAUUAUAGAGCAAUAGCAGUACUGGACCAUUGAUUAAUUGUGUAUGAGCAUAUUCAAAGUCACCAAGAACAAGCUGCCUAGGGCUGUAAUUUUUUUUUGUGCUCUGUACUUGUACCAUGUUUUUAGCGCUAAUGUUAGUUAUAUCCUUGUCUUCUGAAUGAACUAACACUGAUGUUAGAUCUUCUCACUGUAUGCGUCAUUAUCCAUGCAUGCCAGGACCCAUUAGGUGUACAAAAAAUACGCACGUGUAAAGAAGGUAGAUCUCCUCAGUAUAAUUACAUAGAUAGGCCAAUCAACAAUACAAACUUAUACUGGACACUUGUAUUGUUGAUGGCUUAUCUAUUUGGUUUUCAUAUAAUUUACGUCAAUGCUUAUUGUGCAUGCUAAACCAUAAUUGCCGCCGAGGUUGGUUAGUUUGCUUACAAUCAUUGAUUAAGCGGCUCAUUCAAUACUAUGAUUUAAAGUGACACAACUCUCAGCGAGGUGUUUUUAAAAUCUAACUUUUUUUCAUAAUUACUGGUAUUUUAAAAUGGAUAAGAAAGUAUUUAUGUCAGUGGAUCAGUUAUAAAUUCAAAAAAAAUACCCCAACAGCUCUUUCAUGGCAUUGUCUUAAUUAAGCUGCUCGAGGGGGAAAUUAAAUGCUCAGGUGGAUUUCCUCUUCUGUCAUUUAUUUUUGGUUCGAAAAUAUUGUUGUUUGGUAGAACAGUAAAAAAAAGACUGAGUUUUCGUCAGUAGAAGUCAUUUACUGUAUAGUGGCGCACUCAUAAAUAUGCGCCCAGUUUUCCAUGGAAGUUUCUACCCUCACUUGCUGUAUUGUUUUUGUAGGUCUCCCAAGCAAUUGUUGAGGAAACUACUGGAAAGGUUUGCUCAUCUAUGUUGUGAAGACACGAAAGUGUGCAUUCCGGAUGAUGUUAGUAAAGUUGGGUGUUAGAAUAGUAACUUCAUGAUACUCUGUCCCUUUUGCAGUACCAAGAAUUGAAGCAAGCCCAGCAGCACAUUUCUUUUUAUAUAUGACAUUAUCCUCGUGCCCUAACUGAAUAUGUUCGCAAAUAAUAAAGGCUAUGUUGGAGUGACGAGGCUUUGCUCUUCAAGGCGGAUGAUAGAAAACUAUAUGGACAACCUCAAGUAGUUUUGAACUUUUCACGCCCUAGGAUUGUAUUAUCUCGUGUAUACUUACAAUGUUUCAUCAUGAUUAUUCUGGUGUUGCUUUGAACAA